UACGGAGGGUGCAAGCGUUGUUCGGAUUUAUUGGGCUUAAAGGGUGCGUAGGCGGCCGAUUAAGUCAGCGGUGAAAGCUUUGGGCUCAACCCAGAAAUUGCCAUUGAUACUGGUCGGCUUGAGUAUUGCAGGGGUACAUGGAAUUGAUGGUGUAGCGGUGAAAUGCAUAGAUACCAUCAGGAACACCGAUAGCGAAGGCAUUGUACUGGGCAACCACUGACGCUGAUGCACGAAAGCGUGGGGAGCAAACAGG
rnacentral:rRNA from 1 species